GACGAACGCUGGCGGCGUGCUUAACACAUGCAAGUCGAACGGAAAGGCCCUGCUUUUGUGGGGUGCUCGAGUGGCGAACGGGUGAGUAACACGUGAGUAACCUGCCCUUGACUUUGGGAUAACUUCAGGAAACUGGGGCUAAUACCGGAUAGGAGCUCCUGCUGCAUGGUGGGGGUUGGAAAGUUUCGGCGGUUGGGGAUGGACUCGCGGCUUAUCAGCUUGUUGGUGGGGUAGUGGCUUACCAAGGCUUUGACGGGUAGCCGGCCUGAGAGGGUGACCGGCCACAUUGGGACUGAGAUACGGCCCAGACUCCUACGGGAGGCAGCAGUGGGAAAUAUUGCACAAUGGGCGGAAGCCUAAUGCAGCAACGCCGCGUGCGGGAUAACGGCCUUCGGGUUGUAAACCGCUUUCGCCUGUGACGAAGCGUGAGUGACGGUAAUGGGUAAAGAAGCACCGGCUAACUACGUG
rnacentral:rRNA from 1 species